CUGUGCACAGGGGAUAGUUGCUUUGUUUCCCUAUCUGGAAGACCCAUUUUCACAACAUGGAUAUGAACAUUACUACGAUCCAGAGAGUGGUUCUGGAUACCUUGCAUGGCGAUUGAAGACCAUUCAAAGAAAAAGUUCAGA